rnacentral:rRNA from 1 species
AGUGGCGACCGGGUGAGUAACACGUGACUAACCUGCCAGAGUGGGGAAUAACCUCGGGAAACCGGGGCUAAUACCGCAUAACAUCGCGAGGUGAAAUUCCUUGUGAUCAAAGGAGCAAUUCGCUCAAGGAGGGGGUCGCGGCUGAUUAGUUAGUUGGCGGGGUAACGGCCCACCAAGACUGAGAUCAGUAGCCGGCCUGAGAGGGCGCACGGCCACACUGGAACUGAAACACGGCCCAGACUCCUACGGGAGGCAGCGGGGGGGAAUUUUGCGCAAGGGGGGAAACCCGGACGCAACACCGCCCCGUGGAGGAUGAAGUCCCUUGGGAUGUAAACUCCUUUCGAUCGGGAAGAUUAUGACGGUACCGGAAAAAAAAGCACCGGCUAACUUUGUGCAAGCAGCCGCGGUAAUACAAAGGGUGCAAGCGUUGUUCGGAAUUAUUGGCCGUAAGGGGUGCGUAGGCGGUGCGGUUAAGUCUUUGGUGAAAUCUCGGGGUUCAACUCAAAAUCCG